GGUCCCACCUGACCCCAUGCCGAACUCAGAAGUGAAACGCCGUAGCGCCGAUGGUAGUGUGGGGUCUCCCCAUGCGAGAGUAGGGAACUGCCAGGC
rnacentral:rRNA from 51 species